AUUGAACGCUGGCGGCAUGCUUUACACAUGCAAGUCGAACGGUAACAGGCCUUCGGGUGCUGACGAGUGGCGCACGGGUGAGUAAUGCAUCGGAACGUACCCAGAGGUGGGGGAUAACGCAGCGAAAGCUGUGCUAAUACCGCAGGUGAUCUGAGGAUGAAAGCGGGGGACCGAGCAGCAAUGUUUGGCCUCGCGCCUUUGGAGCGGCCGAUGUCGGAUUAGCUAGUUGGUGGGGUAAAGGCCUACCAAGGCGACGAUCCGUAGCUGGUCUGAGAGGACGACCAGCCACACUGGGACUGAGACACGGCCCAGACUCCUACGGGAGGCAGCAGUGGGGAAUGUUGGACAAUGGGCGCAAGCCUGAUCCAGCAAUGCCGCGUGCGGGAAGAAGGCCUUCGGGUUGUAAAACGCUUUUGGCAGGAACGAAACGGUGUCCGCUAAUACCGGGCGCUAAUGACGGUACCUGCAGAAUAAGCACCGGCUAACUACGUG
rnacentral:rRNA from 1 species